rnacentral:rRNA from 1 species
GAUGAACGCUGGCGGCGUGCCUAAUACAUGCGAGUCGAGCGAACGGACGAGAAGCUUGCUUCUCUGAUGUUAGCGGCGGACGGGUGAGUAACACGUGGAUAACCUACCUAUAAGACUGGUAUAACUUCGGGAAACCGGAGCUAAUACCGGAUGAUAUUUUGAACCGCAUUGUUCAAAAGUGAAAGACGGUCUUGCUGUCACUUAUAGAUGGAUCCGCGCUGCAUUAGCUAGUUGGUAAGUUAACGGCUUACCAAGGCAACGAUGCAUAGCCGACCUGAGAGGGUGAUCGGCCACACUGGAAGUGAGCCACGGUCGAGAGUACUACGGGAGGCAGCAGUAGGGAAUCGUCGGCAAUGGGCGGAAGCGUGACGGAGGAGCGCGGCGUGAGUGAUGAAGGUCUUCGGAUCGUGAAACUCUGUUAUUAGGGAAGAACAUAUGUGUAAGUAACUGUGCACAUCUUGACGGUACCUAAUAAGAAAGCCACGGCUAACUACGUG